rnacentral:sRNA from 1 species
UGGGUUCAUCAGGGCCGACCACAGAGUA